AUGGAGGACCUUGCACAAUCUUGGACACACCUUUUCCUAUCUGAGAGAGAAGGGCCAGGAUGCUGCCUUACACCAGAGGAGAGUGUCAAAACUUUCUCCAUUGCAGCAAGCUUUCUUACUAAAAGAGCUCUUAAUGCUGAAGCGAUUGCUAGAACUUUUACUCCCUUGUGGUGAGCAAGAAGGGUUUCAAAAUUCAGCAUAUCAAUGAUCAUAAGAUCUUGUUUUCUUUCGAAGACAAAGAGGAGAUUUGGAUUGAAAGCGAGGGGACUCUGAGGAAUGAUCAAAAGGAGUUUGGUUCCAGCCUAUGUGCUCCUCCAUUCGUGGUCUCCAAAAAGAAUACUAUUGUGGUGUCAGGUUAUUACUCUAUGAGGAAGAUGAAUAUGAAGGCUGGAUAGACAUCUCAGCCGAUGGAAAAGGAGCAACCAGACCCGUAGAACUAGUUCGAUGGUAAUUCUGAAUCGGAGCGUGACCCAAACGGCAGUGAACGUUAUAGGCAAGAAGCUGUUAAGCAUUCAAUGUGUAACAACCAAAAUGGAAUCAAUCCUAUUGAUCAUGCAUGUUCAGUAUCUUCAUUGCAUUUAAAUUCCAAUUUAAAUGGCAUGUCCAGUUGUCCAAAUGGGAUUGAAUUGGUCUUAAAGAAGACGAAUGAAGAGCCACAAAAGUCAGUGAAGUUAGGAAACAGUCCAGAUACACUUAGGGUCUCUAAGCCAUGUGAUACUUUAAGUGAAACAUGUCUAGGUCAGCCAAAUGAAGCAUCUCCUCCUCACAUGCCUAAUGGGGUUUCAAAAAAUAAUAUGUAGGGGCGUGUUCUUCCUUCUUGGACCCGUAGAAGCAGACCACCAACACUGACUGAAACCCCACCUAUUCAAUUUAUCAUAGGAAGAAAAAGACCUUCUCAAUCUCAAGUCUCAAAUGAUUUCUCAGAAUUGCCUUUGAACCAUUUUUAGGCUUCUCAGAAAGACGAUGGAGUUUUAUUUAUAUUGGCAGAGGCUGAUAAUCAGCCCUGCUAAGAGUAAUGAGUUGCUUAACAUGGAAUUGUCGUGGGCUUGGGAACUUACGUACAGGAAGAGAGUUUGUGGAAAUCACACGGGCAAAAGAUCCAUCAGUAGUGUUUUUGGCCAAGACACUUAUAGAUGAUGCAAGGCUGGAAAUUGUACAAAGAAGUAUUAAGCAUGAUCAUCGAUUGGUGGAUUGGCUUUAAUUUGGAAAUCUUCGAUCAAUCUGACAGUUGUGGGUUCUUCAAAGUAUUAUAUUCAUGCAGUCAUCAAUAAGGAUUCAGAUAAUGAAUGGCGUUUAAUGGGUUUUUAUGGUGAACCAGAGAUAGCAAGAAGAACUGAAGCAUGGGAUCAACUUAGGUACCUCAACUCUCAAUCUAAUACUCCACGGUUGUGCAUUGGGGAUUUUAAUGAGAUCAUUAGGCAAGAUGAGAAGGAGGGAGGUGGAGUUAGGCCUCAUAAUCAAAUGCAACUUUUUAGAGAAUUAAUAGAUGAAUGUGGGUUUAUGGAUUUGGGAUAUGUGGGUCCUAAAUUCACAUGGGCUAGGCACUUUGAGAAUGGAAGUUUGAUAUGGGAAAGACUAGAUAGAGGAUUAGCCACAAAUAGUUGGUUCUUAAAAUUUCCUGGCACUAAGGUUCAUAAUUUACGUUGUGACUCAUUUGAACAUAUCCCCCUCCACAUUAUUUUUAUGGGUUUGGAACCACAUAAUAGAAAGAAGCCGUUUCGAUUUGAGGAAAUGUGGCUAUCCAAUCCGGGUUGUAAUGAAAUUAUUGAAGUCGUGUGGCAUAGCUCUAGUAUCACCGAGUCUAGUAAGGGAAUUUGGGUGGAAAAGUGUGGUAGGGAUCUGAGUUGGUGGAAUAGGAAUGUAUUUGGGAAUGUGCGAAGGGAAUUGGAAAAAUUGAGGAAUUUACUCCUCAAGGCCGAAGGUGUGGCUAUCCUUAGUGGGGACAAUACUUGAGUUAGGCAAAUGAAGAAGGAUAUUGAAGUGUUAAGGGAUAGGGAGGCAACUAUGUGGGCCCAAAGGUCGAGGUUACUAUGGGCAAGACAAUGGGAUAAAAAUACAAAAUAUUUCCAUAGUUGUGCCACGAAGAGGUAUAGGAACAAUUUGAUUGAGGGAGUUAGAGAUGAAGAUGGUAUAUGGAAAGCCCAUCUGGAGGAGAUAGCAUCAUUUUUUGUAAGUUACUUCAACACACUUUUCUCUUCAUCGAGACAUAAUGGGUUUGCAAGGGUUUUGGAAUAUGUACCAACUGUGAUUACGGAUGAGAUGAAUUCUUCACUAAGCCGUGCAUUUGAAGCAAGUGAAGUUAAUGUGGCUUUGCAACAAAUGGCUCCUUUAAAAGCUCCUAGAUCGGAUGGAAUGCCCCCCUAUUUUGCAAAGUUUUAGCCAACCACUUGAAGAAAAUACUACCUCUCAUCAUUACAGAACACCAAUAUGCUUUUACUAAGGAUAGAUUAAUUUCUGAUGACAGUAUGGUGGCAUUUGAGACUUUACAUUGCUUGCAAAUAUAUAUUUAUGGUAGUCAUGGCUAUGUGGCCAUUAAACUAGAUAUGAGUAAGGUCUAUGACCCGGUAGAAUGGUAUUUUCUUGAAGGAAUUAUGAGGAAGAUGAGUUUUAAUGAAGGGUGGAUUAAUCUUAUUAUGGUAUGUGUGAACAUAGUUACUUACUUAGUUUUGGUAAAUGGAGAGCCUAGUGGUUUGAUUCACUCAAUAAGGGGUAUAAGGCAAGGAGACCCAUUAUCUCCAUUCCUGAUUUUACUUUGCAUUGAGGGGCUGAAUGGGAUGAUUAAAAAAGCGGAGAGGGAUGGGGAUAUCCAAGGGUUUUCCUUAUGUAGGAGAGGCCUAAAAUUAACACAUUUACCUUUUGUAGAUGAUUGUCUUCUCUUUUGCAAGGCAACCAUGGAUGAAUGUGGGAAGGUGUUGGAUAUUUUGAAUGGUUAUGAGGAGGCCUCGGGACAAAAAAUAAACAAAACCAAAACAACCCUUUUCUUUAGCAAAGCAACCGAUACCAUAAUGAAGAAUUAUAUCAAAGAAGCUUGGGGAGUUCUGGAAAUUAUGUAAGAUGAGAAAUAUUUGGGUCUACCUUCAUUUGUUGGGAAAGGGAAAAAAGCAAGCUUCAACUAUAUCAAGGAGAGGGUGUGGAGAAAAAUCCAAGAAUAGGAAGGGAAGCUACUUUCACAAGUAGGUAGGGAAGUGCUGAUAAAAUCAGUCAUCCAAGCCAUCCCAACAUACACUAUAGGAUGUUUCAAAAUUCCAUUGGGCUUAUGCAAUGAGGUUGAAGGUAUGAUAAAAAAGUUUUGGUGGGGACAACGAGGUGAUCGGAGAAAAAUCCAUUGGGUUAAAUGGAAAGAUUUGACUAAAUCAAAAGUAGUGGAUGGUAAGGGUUUUAGAGAUCUUGCUAUGUUCAAUGACUCACUCUUAGCAAAGCAAGCUUGGCGGCUUUCUAUUUGCUAUAUGGGAGUUGUGGAAACAUAGAAAUAAAGUGACCUUUGAGAAUAAUCCUCUAAACCCCAAUCUGUGCAGACUGAGUAUCAAUCAAGCCAUGGAGUAUUACUUUUGUGUGGGGAAGAUCAGGGAACAGAUAUGUAUGUCUGUCAUUGUUGUUAGCAAGCAAGAACCACCUCCUAAUUGGUAUAAACUAAAUACCGAUAGGGCGUUAUGUGGGAAUCUCGGGAGGGCAGGAGGCAGUGGUGUCAUAAGGGGUAGUGCAGGAAAUUGGAUAAGAGGUUUUGCUAGAUAUAUUGGCUCAACAACAAGCAUCAUUGCAAAAUUUUGGGUACACAGGGAUGGUUUGCAAUUAGUCGCUUAG
rnacentral:sRNA from 1 species